rnacentral:misc_RNA from 1 species
AACGCAAAUGGCACUGUCACGUCAAGUGAUAGUAUGCCUGUUUGAGAACCUGUUAAACAAUCACAACAGUUGCUUGUGGACUUGGCGCUGAUCUUAUUUCAGAUCUUUGCUGGAAUAGUCAAUGCAGUUGUGCAAAUGGCCUGUGUGAUAGUUAAUCACAGACUCUAAUGCACAGUCCCGCUGCAGAGCGUGUCAUGCACGCAAAACUUUUAAAAACAUAUAUAUAUGGUCUCAAAUCAGGCAAGGCUACCCGCUGAACUUAA